CCCUGAUACAGUAAUAGUGUUAUCUAUAGUCUUAGAAAAAAAUUCAACAUUUUCUGUUCUCUGCAAGGGAAUCUUGUCCAAACUCCACAUCGCUGUCACCGAACAAAGUUGGAGGUACAAUUGAAAGAGACCAGCCAGAUUCUUGUUCCGGGUAUUAAAAAGAAAACCUGGCUAGAGAUUUCAUGCCAUGUCAUUCCAUUUAUGUUUGCUUGUGUGCUUAUCAUAUCUGAUUACAUGAUUGACAUUUAUUUCAUAAUUAGUAUAUACUUUGACACAUGAUAUGUUUUGCUUUAUUUAUGAACAACAGGAUACGUUUACUUUUUGUGAUCAUAUAAGUGAACAAACAUAGCCAAUGGUUAAAGUUUAUAUCUACUAUGUAUGUAUAUUUUUCAUUCACACAUGUCUCACUGCCUUUUAAGCACUUAAGAGAGCAUAACUGGAGAUUGCUCUCAUUAAAUGUGAACAAAAUUGAUGUUCUUUUUUUUGCAAAAUAGUAAAUAUUGUGUUCUCUUGAUUGUUUUUUUG